AGUCGUGCGCGAAAACCUCUUCGGAGGCCAGUAGAGCGGCGCACGGGUGAGUAACACGUGAGUAACCUACCUUCAGGUUGAGGAUAACCGCGCGAAAGUGUGGCUAAUACUGAAUAAGGUCUCUUCUUUGUCGAUUGAAGAGAGCAAAGGGGGCUUCGGCUCUCGCCAGAAGAUGGGCUCGCGGUCCAUUAGCUAGUUGGUGAGGUAACGGCUCACCAUGCCUACGAUGGAUAGCGGGUCUGGGAGGAUGAUCCGCCACACGGGCACUGAGACACGGGCCCGACUCCUACGGGAGGCAGCAGUAAGGAAUAUUGGACAAUGGGCGGAAGCCUGAUCCAGCCAUCCCGCGUGCAGGAAGACGGUUCUAUGAAUUGUAAACUGCUUUUAUCAGAGACGAAAAGUUUCCAUUUAUGGAAGAAUCGACGGUAUCUGAUGAAUAAGCACCGGCUAACUCCGUGCCAGCAGCCGCGGUAAUACGGAGGGUGCAAGCGUUAUCCGGAAUUACUGGGUUUAAAGGGUCCGCAGGCGGGCUGAUAAGUCAGUGGUGAAAUCCUACGGCUCAACCGUAGAACUGCCAUUGAUACUGUUAGUCUUGAGUAAGGUGGAAGUUGGCGGAAUAC
rnacentral:rRNA from 1 species